rnacentral:rRNA from 1 species
GACGAACGCUGGCGGCGUGCUUAACACAUGCAAGUCGAACGGAAAGGCCCUGCUUUUGUGGGGUGCUCGAGUGGCGAACGGGUGAGUAACACGUGAGUAACCUGCCCUUGACUUUGGGAUAACUUCAGGAAACUGGGGCUAAUACCGGAUAGGAGCUCCUGCUGCAUGGUGGGGGAUGGAAAGAUUCGGCGGUUGGGGAUGGACUCGCGGCUUAUCAGCUUGUUGGUGGGGUAGUGGCUUACCAAGGCUUUGACGGGUAGCCGGCCUGAGAGGGUGACCGGCCACAUUGGGACUGAGAUACGGACCAGACUCCUACGGGAGGCAGCAGUGGGGAAUAUUGCACAAUGGGCGGAAGCCUGAUGCAGCAACGCCGCGUGCGGGAUGACGGCCUUCGGGUUGUAAACCGCUUUCGCCUGUGACGAAGCGUGAGUGACGGUAAUUGGUAAAGAAGCACCGGCUAACUACGUG